GUCCACGCCGUAAACGAUGGGCACUAGGUGUUCGGUGUAUUGACCCCCUGAGUGCCGCAGCUAACGCAUUAAGUGCCCCGCCUGGGGACUACGGCCGCAAGGUUAAAACUCAAAGGAAUUGACGGGGGCCCGCACAAGCGGUGGAGCAUGUGGUUCAAUUCGACGCAACGCGAAGAACCUUACCUGGGCUAGACAACGCUGGACAGCCCCAGAAAUGGGGUCUUCCCGCAAGGGACUGGCGGUUCAGGUGCUGCAUGGCUGUCGU
rnacentral:rRNA from 1 species